UACGAAGGGGGCUAGCGUUGCUCGGAAUCACUGGGCGUAAAGCGCACGUAGGCGGAUUGCUAAGUCAGGGGUGAAAUCCUGGAGCUCAACUCCAGAACUGCCUUUGAUACUGGCGAUCUUGAGUCCGGGAGAGGUGAGUGGAACUCCGAGUGUAGAGGUGAAAUUCGUAGAUAUUCGGAAGAACACCAGUGGCGAAGGCGACUCACUGGACAUGUAUUGACGCUGAGGUGCGAAAGCGUGGGGAGCAAACAGG
rnacentral:rRNA from 1 species